rnacentral:rRNA from 1 species
GACGUAGGGCGCGAGCGUUGUCCGGAUUUAUUGGGCGUAAGGAGCUCGUAGGCGGCUUGUCGCGUCGUCCGUGAAAACCUGCAGCUCAACUGCAGGCUUGCGGUCGAUACGGGCAGGCUAGAGUUCGGCAGGGGAGACUGGAAUUCCCGGUGUAGAGGUGAAAUUCGUAGAUAUCGGGAGGAACACCGAUGGCGAAGGCAGCUCGCUGGGACGGUACUGACGCUGAGGCGCGAAAGCGUGGGGAGCAAACAGG